rnacentral:rRNA from 1 species
GACGAACGCUGGCGGCGUGCUUAACACAUGCAAGUCGAACGAAGUGGCGAACGGGUGAGUAACGCGUAAUCAACCUGCCCUUCAGAGGGGGAAAACAGUUGGAAACGACUGCUAAUACCGCAUACUGAAGGUGGGGAUUGCGUGUGCUUGGCUAGUUGGAGGGGUAACGGCCCAACAAGGCGAUGAUCAGUAGCCGGUCUGAGAGGAUGGACGGCCAAAUUGGGACUGAGACACGUCCCAGACUCAUACGGGAGGCAGCGGUGGGGACUAUUCCGCAAUGGACGAAAGUCUGACGGGGCAACGCGGCGGGAGUGAUGACGGCCUUCGGGUUGUAAAGCUCUGUUAAUCGGGACGCGGUACCGGAAUAGAAAGCCACGGCUAACUACGUGCCAGCAGCCGCGGUAAUAC